ACCGGUUGCUCUCGUCUCCAAAUAAUAUAUCGUAGUUUUGACGUCAUAAUGCAUAUGACGUUGUAAUCCGAAUUCAGCCGAAACGAUGUCCUUAGUUACUAAAAGGUAAUUACAGGAUAAAGACGAGUUUUAAGCGCUCUCGAUUUUUUUUGAAUUUACGCUUAAUUUCAAGAAUUUCUUUGAUAUUGAAGCUUGAGCCCUGCCAUACAAUAUGGAUAAAGGCGUCAGCUUAUGUCGACAGCGAGAUCAGCAAAAAGCAGAAUCGAAAGGUGGGUUCUUUAGCUUGAGGCAACUCCCAUUACGUGCCUGUCCAAAUGACGAACACGCAAGGAGCAUGGAGAUGUUCAGGUGAUACUGUGAGUGUUGUAUCGUGACAUCGGAAAUAGACCCGGAAGUGGCCAAAUGGGUUCUUACUUCAAGGAAUGCAUCAAGGUAUUGCCAAGUGGUAAAUGCUCACUGCUCAAGGAUACCAUCCCCACAGUUCCGGGCCAUGACUUAGCGAUGGUGUAUAGCGUUAUUUCGUCAACUGCAGCGGAGAGGUUGGUUUAAUCCAGUGGCAUGAACACCUUAAAUAGGCCGUGGUCAAUGUCGACCGAAGUAUCUGGUCACAAACCUUCGGUCAGUUGUCGAAUCGGCAUAACAGUUGAUUUUAUCACGUAAGGCAGAUGCUGUAAACACGGCAAUCGUGGAACUAAGCAUUUCCUUGUUCUUGUGUGUUGAACAUACGCCGUGGUAACCGUGUUGUAUGAAAGGAUGUUGUUUGUUCAAUCGUUUUAAGCUAAUCUAUACCGAUGCCUUUAUUUGAAAAAAUAAGAACGAUAUUAUGAUCAAUUUGUUAGUGUUUUUCACGAUGUCAAUCAUAAUCCUAGAACAAACCGUUAAAACUUGUUUGAAGGACCGAUUAUUGAUGAUGCAUAUUAUUGAAACAAUUGGAAUGAUAAUACAUUUUUGUUCUCUCAGGUAUAAAUAUAAUGCUGGCAUACAGUACACGGAAGGGAUGUCAGUUGAAUAAAACUUAAGGAAAAACAGAACUAAUUCAUUAUUUUUUACUUAAUUCUCAGGCCCGUAGCCAGGGUUUUGAAAAGGGGGGGGGGAUGGUGCGAAAUUUAUUUUCCCAUCAACGAAUGUUAUUUAGGAACGAAGUGGCGAAGGGGGUAGUUGCGGGAGGGGGUGUUCCCACCCUGCAAUCGGGGGUUUAAAGGUCCUACCCGUACAAACAUUUUGAAAAUGAAACGUAAAACACUACAUUCUGGUGACAUUUUAACUGUAUUUAGAGACUGAAGUUAUAGAGCAUUUUUAUAUAAAAUUUCCCUUUCAUUGACCAUACUCAGUGACUGAUCGACAUGUAUAUGAUACAACAUACAUGUAUUUCCCAUUAUCGUUAAUCAUUUACCACCUUUAUCGACCAGUAACAGAAAUUCAUAUUAUACGGCGUUUAACCCGACACUAGUAUGCGAGCACAUACUUUGUUUACGUAUGCACCAACACAUUUUUAGAAAGUUAAACCAACAAUAAGAACGAUAUAAAAUAUCAUUAUUUAUUGGAAUCUUGAUAAAAUUAGUGUAUUUUACCAUUCCAAAAUUUUACCAUUCAUUAGUCAAGCAAAUUAAUAGGAAAUAUUUGACUUUGUUCAAAACAUUUGUUUGUCUGCUACUAUGGAUAGUAUCGGAGGCCUAGCAUUGCUCCAAACGUGCUAAUAAUGUAUUGCACAACAAACACUGUUUAACAAAACUGGGUCAUCUCUAAUUUGCAUCAAUACCAGGAUGCAGGAUCACGUGACUUUGUUAAUGGAAGUCAACACACUAGUUAGUGCUGCUUUUUUGUCCCCUACCGGUUUCACCGGAGGGGACUUAUGGUUUGCACUCCGUCUGUCAGUCUGUAAGUCUGUCUGUCUGUCAGUCAGUCAGUCUGUCUGUCAGUCCGUCACACUUUUCUGGAUCCUGCGAUAACUUUUAAAGUUCUUCAUACUUUUUCAUGAAACUUGAAAUAUGGAUAGAUGGCAAUAUUGACAUUAUGCACGACAUUUCAUUUUGUUCAUAUGUCAAAAAUUAUGGUUACUAUGACAACAAAUAGAUUAGAAAUACUGCUGAAAAUGAUGGCUUUCUGGAUCCUGCGAUAACUUUAAAAGUUCUUAAUAUUUUUUCUUGAAACUUGCAACAUGGAUAAAUGGCAACAUGGACAUUAUGCACAUCAUUUCUUUUGUUCCUACGUCAAAAAUUGUGGUUGCUAUGGCAACCAAAAAACAAAACAAAACAUCUGAAAAUGGUGGAAUUUCUGACAAUGGUGGAGCCGGUAGGGGACCAUAUUUCUUGACAAUAGCUUUGUUUCCAAAUAACUUUGUAAAACAAUUUUUCUUAAGAAUUUCAACUAGUGCAUAAGCUAUAGAUUUUUUAGCUGCGUGAAAUACAUCAGAAUUACUUUAUAUAAUAAGCAUGUUUUCUUUUAAAAAAAAAUUCGUUUAUACUGCACAAAUAUCCUUCAUGCAAAUUGAAUUUUUGUCACCGAUUUCAGACGUAUUUCUCAAGGAUCGGCACAAACUGCAAGAAAAACUUUCUUUUAUGCACUAAAGAUUUUUGCAAUUGUACUUCAAUAACGUGACAUAUUUGUAAGAAUAAAGAUCUGAACGGUGUGUUUAAAUUCUGCCCAGCCCGUGUGUAAAUACCUGAAAACCAGGCUUAUUCUGCACCCUGAAUACUAAACAGAAACAAAAUGGCAUAACUGGUUACUUUUACUUUUGUCAAGUAUUUUUAACAAAUUAGUUAUCUGUUUUCUGAACGAAUUUCAGAAACAUAUAAAACUUAAGGCUUGAUAAAGACCCUAUAACCACAAACUACUGGCCCUUUGGUCUCAAAGUCCUUAACAGUGUAUACAAGGACACUGAAAAAAGGACGUAUUUGCCCAUUAUGCUCAAGAUACGUCAAAAUUAAUGAACAUUAAACAUUAACGUCCACCUGAUGAAAUGUUACAGCGGUUUAAAUUCAUUAUAACAGAUAGAUUUUCUCACAUGUUGCUGUCAAAAAUUCUAUUGAUUUCAGCAAUUCUGCGGUUAAAAAUUGCAAAUAAAAAUCACGGUCUAUCUUCGAAUUGACUUCAUAGAGAAAUUUAACUACUAGUAUAUGGUUACCUGUCGGUAGCUUAAUGAAUUCAACAUUAUUGUAACGCUUAAAUACGAAGACUUGCUGGAUUAAGGGAAAAUAUAAAUAACCGUUUUUGCGUCGAAUAAAGUUGGGUGCAACUGAUAGUACAAAUUCAAAAAACAUUGGGUGCGAACGCCGCAAACGCACCCUCCUGGCUACGGUUAUGCCUUCUGCUAUUAUUUUCUUACUGAGAAAAGGAUAUAUAUUUGUUAACAGCUGAUAAGUGAGAAGCUUAUGACGUCAUAGACACACGGAUUGGGAAAUGGAUUUUAUGUGUUUUGUUAUCAAACACAUUGUUCUCUGAAUUAUUGCACCUGCAACGUAUCACUAGCAAGAACUCUGAAACAUUGACAUGUGUAAUUUCAUAAUUAUAAAUUAACUUAUUAUUUUGUAGAUACUAUUAUUGUUUAUUUUUUAUGGUUUAUAUUCAUUUUUUAAUACAAUAGUCUACAUCCUGGGAAGAACCAGUACUUACAACCGAUCAUUUGACUGUGGUAUUUAAUUAAGAGAUUUACUAGUCUGUUCAAUUUUCAGACUUAUUGCACCUUGUUGGUGUUCAUGAAGAAUUUUUUAGUGCGAUGUGAGAUUAAAUAUCCGUACAAACCAA